rnacentral:rRNA from 1 species
UACGUAGGGCGCAAGCGUUGUCCGGAAUUAUUGGGCGUAAAGAGCUCGUAGGCGGCUUGUCACGUCGGAUGUGAAAGCCCGGGGCUUAACUCCGGGUCUGCAUUCGAUACGGGCUAGCUAGAGUGUGGUAGGGGAGAUCGGAAUUCCUGGUGUAGCGGUGGAAUGCGCAGAUAUCAGGAGGAACGCCGGUGGCGAAGGCGGAUCUCUGGGCCAUAACUGACGCUGAGGAGCGAAAGCAUGGGGAGCGAACAGG